UUUUUUGUCUUUUAAAGUAAAUUGUAACAAGGCCUCCAUGGGACAGCGGAAGGAUCAUUACCGAGUUUACAACUCCCAAACCCAUGUGAACAUACCUCUCGUUUGCUUCGGCGGGAUCGCCCCGGGCGCCUUGUGUGCCCCGGAUUCCAGGCACCCGCCGGGGGACCUUAACUCUUGUUUUAUUUAGAAAUCUUCUGAGUAGUUUUUACAAAUAAAUAAAAAACUUUCAACAAACGGAUCUCUUGGUUCUGGCAUCGAUGAAGAACGCAGCGAAAUGCGAAAAGUAAUGUGAAUUGCAGAAUUCAGUGAAUCAUCGAAUCUUUGAACGCACAUUUGCGCCCGCCAGUAUUCUGGGCGGGCAUGCCUGUCUGAGCGUCAUUUCAACCCUCAUACCCCUAGGGUGUGGUGUUGGGGAUCGGCCAAGGCCCGCAAGGGACGGCCGGCCCCUAAAUCUAGUGGCGGACCCGUCGUGGCCUCCUCUGCGAAGUAGUAAUAUUCCGCAUCGGAGAAGCGACGAGCCCCUGCCGUUAAACCCCCAACUUUCUAAGGUUGACCUCAGAUCAGGUAGGAAUACCCGCUGAACUUAAGCAUAUCAAUAAGCGGAGGAAAAGAAACCAACAGGGAUUGCCCUAGUAACGGCGAGUGAAGCGGCAACAGCUCAAAUUUGAAAUCUGGCGCAAGCCCGAGUUGUAAUUUGUAGAGGAUGUUUCUGGCGACGUGCCUUCCGAGUUCCCUGGAACGGGACGCCAUAGAGGGUGAGAGCCCCGUACGGUUGGAUGCCUAGCCUCUGUGAAACUCCUUCGACGAGUCGAGUAGUUUGGGAAAUGCUGCUCUAAAAUGGGAGGUAUACGUCUUCUAAAGCUAAAUACCGGGCCAGAGACCGAUAGCGCCACAAGUAGAGUGAUCGAAAGAUGAAAAGCACUUUUGAAAAAGAGGGUUAAAAAAGUACGUGAAAAUUGUUGAAAGGGAAGCGUUCAUGACCAGAACUUGGGGCAGGGUUGAUCAUCCCGUGGUUCUCCGCGGGUGCACUCUGCCUGCCCAGGCCAGCAUUCAGUUCGCCCCGGGGGAAUAAAGGUUUCGGGAAUGUGGCUCCCUACCGGGAGGUGUUAUAGCCCGUUGGCGUAAUACCCCUGGGACCGGAACUGAGGUUCCGCGCUUCUGCAGAUGGCUGGGAAGGUUCAUCAAACCCGUUUUAAAACGGCAAAAA
rnacentral:rRNA from 1 species